GCUUGCUCCCACUCCAGUUUCACACCAGUACACUCCGCUAUCUGUGGCAGGGAAGGCAGCAAUGACGGAGCAGGACAAUGGACAUGGAUGCACCUGAAGGGGAGUGAAUCAGAAGUCAUCCAACAUUUACGAAGAAGCAGAGAGAGAGCUGUUACUUCCAUCCUGACCUGCUGCUGACUGAGAGAGAGAGUGAGAGGACAGAAAAGACGAGUGAAGACCCAAGACAGGAUGUGCAGAAGCAGAACUAGACAGACAGAUAGAUACAUGAGGGCAUUAAUUUCUAUUUAUUUCAAUACAGAACGCAUUUUUUGUAUGGUAUACUUUUCAUUUGAGUCAACUUAAGUGUAUGAUUUACUGUUUUUGGAGGUUUUAGUUUUUUUGUUUGUGUAAUCUUAGGGAAAGAAUCUCCUAAUGACUCAUUAUCUCACACCUGUUGUCCAAAAUACCCAAUUAAAAGGGUCAAGCUACGGUACUGUUUCUUCACUGUUUAUGUAACUAAUAGAGACUUUUUCCCCAAUAUUCCAUAAUCUUCCUCUCCUCUACUGACUCGAGGUGUUUCUGUACAAGCCAAGUUGAACUUAUGUAUUAUUAUUUUAUUAUUUAUUUUACAUUAUGUUAUUAUUUAGCUUUGAUAUAUGGAGCCUUUUUUGUCUUUUGGCUAGAUUGAUUUGUUUUGAUUGAACCACAAGAUGACGCCAUAAUGUGUAAAGCAGACACACAUGACCUAACAGCUGAUACAGAUGAUGCCUUGUUUGAUGUUUGAAAAUGUAUAAAAAGUGGUUUUCAACCCAUUAUUCCUGUUUAGCCCCUUUAUGAAGGUAUAAGUUGAAAUGUUGGGCUUUGUUCCAACAUAAUGCCAUUUGAAUAAAGAGGAAGUUGAUAUCCACUUUCAAAUUGCCAUGUAAUUAAUAAAGGCUUUUUCCUCAAUAUUCCA